AUUGAACGCUGGCGGCAGGCCUAACACAUGCAAGUCGAACGAGUGGCGGACGGGUGAGCAAUGUCUGGGAAACUGCCUGAUGGAGGGGGAUAACUACUGGAAACGGUAGCUAAUACCGCAUAACAUCCUAUGUGCUUAGGUGGGUUUAGCUAGUUGGGGGGGUAACGGCACACCAAGGCGACGAUCCCUAGCUGGUCUGAGAGGAUGACCAGCCACACUGGAACUGAGACACGGUCCAGACUCCUACGGGAGGCAGCAGUGGGGAAUAUUGCACAAUGGGCGCAAGCCUGAUGCAGCCAUGCCGCGUGUGUGAAGAAGGCCUUCGGGUUGUAAAGUACUUUCAGCGGGGAGGCGUUACCCGCAGAGGAAGCACCGGCUAACUCCGUGCCAGCAGCCGCGGUAAUUC
rnacentral:rRNA from 1 species